AGCAGCCGCGGUAAUUCCAGCUCCAAUAGCGUAUAUUAAAGUUGUUGCAGUUAAAAGCUCGUAGUUGAAUUUCGGGGUUAGUAGGUUGGUCAUGCCUCUGGUAUGUACUGGUCUCACUGAUUCCUCCUUCCUGAUGAACCUUAAUGCCAUUAAUUUGGUGUUUUGGGGAAUUUGGACUGUUACUUUGAAAAAAUUAGAGUGUUUAAAGCAAGCUAACGCUUGAAUACAUUAGCAUGGAAUAAUGAAAUAGGACGUUCGAUCCUAUUUUGUUGGUUUCUAGGAUUGACGUAAUGAUUAAUAGGGAUAGUUGGGGGCAUUAGUAUUCAAUUGUCAGAGGUGAAAUUCUUGGAUUUAUUGAAGACUAACUACUGCGAAAGCAUUUGCCAAGGAUGUUUUCAUUAAUCAAGAACGAAAGUUAGGGGAUCGAAGACGAUCAGAUACCGUCGUAGUCUUAACCAUAAACUAUGCCGACUAGGGAUCGGAUGACGUUAAUUUUUUAAUGACUCAUUCGGCGCCUUAC
rnacentral:misc_RNA from 1 species